AUUUCAGUACAAAUGUUUUGCUGUAAAAGACUGUCACUAGAGGAGUUUUUAUUGUAAUUUAAACAAUUUUAUUGCAUCUUUUAAUUAGAUUGCAAGAUAUCUUGAUAAAAGCUGGAUUUUCAUGGAUGGAUAGAUCAAUAGCAUCUAUUCUCUAGUUUUGCUGUUCUUCUGGUUAUCAUCUUCUGCUACUUGAAAUUUAUAUAUUUAUUUCUUUGUGAGUAGGUGGAAUCGUAUUUGCGGAUUAUUGGAGAGCCAAAGAUUCCUUAAGUAUUUCUUCAAGUUCUUUACUGGUCUUAGGGGAGUAUGGCGCUGCAGAUGGAAAGUUUUCUGCUUCCUACAGUACUGGAAAAUUAUUUGAUGUUGCAGAGGCAUAUUCAAAUGAUGAAACUGUUAAGAUAUAUACAUCUUUAACAACAUGUGGAAGUGAUUUAAACAGCUAUCAACAUAGAAAUUAACAAACUGCAUAUUGUAUCGUCUUGUUUGCCCA